AGAGUUUGAUCCUGGCUCAGGAUGAACGCUGGCGGCGUGCUUAACACAUGCAAGUCGAACGGGAAAUAUUUCAUUGAGACUUCGGUGGAUUUGAUUUAUUUCUAGUGGCGGACGGGUGAGUAACGCGUGGGUAACCUGCCUUAUACAGGGGGAUAACAGUCAGAAAUGGCUGCUAAUACCGCAUAAACGCACAGAGCUGCAUGGCUCAGUGUGAAAAACUCCGGUGGUAUAAGAUGGACCCGCGUUGGAUUAGCUGGUUGGUGGGGUAACGGCCCACCAAGGCGACGAUCCAUAGCCGGCCUGAGAGGGUGAACGGCCACAUUGGGACUGAGACACGGCCCAGACUCCUACGGGAGGCAGCAGUGGGGAAUAUUGCACAAUGGGGGAAACCCUGAUGCAGCGACGCCGCGUGAAGGAAGAAGUAUCUCGGUAUGUAAACUUCUAUCAGCAGGGAAGAUAGUGACGGUACCUGACUAAGAAGCCCCGGCUAACUACGUGCCAGCAGCCGCGGU
rnacentral:rRNA from 1 species